rnacentral:rRNA from 1 species
CGUAACCGGGCUGAAGUCGUACCGUAAGGAGCGGUGGACUGGUUACGAGUGAGAAUGUUGGCAUCAGUAGCGAGAUGUGGGUGAGAAUCCCACAGGCCGAAAACCUAAGGUUUCCUCAGGAAGGUUCGUCCGCUGAGGGUUAGUCGGGACCUAAGCCGAGGCCGAAAGGCGUAGGUGAUGGACAACUGGUUGAUAUUCCAGUACCACUACCAUCGUUAUUAUCGAUGGCGUGACGCAGGAGGAUAGUGUGUGCUAGCUAUUGGAUGCUAGUCUAAGCGUUUAGGCAGUGAGAGUAGGCAAAUCCGCUCUCAUAAUGCU